GCCUAACACAUGCAAGUCGAACGAGACCUUCGGGUCUAGUGGCGCACGGGUGCGUAACGCGUGGGAAUCUGCCCUUGGGUUCGGAAUAACUCGCCGAAAGGCGUGCUAAUACCGGAUGAUGUCGUAAGACCAAAGAUUUAUCGCCCAGGGAUGAGCCCGCGUAAGAUUAGGUAGUUGGUGAGGUAAAGGCUCACCAAGCCGACGAUCUUUAGCUGGUCUGAGAGGAUGAUCAGCCACACUGGGACUGAGACACGGCCCAGACUCCUACGGGAGGCAGCAGUGGGGAAUAUUGGACAAUGGGCGAAAGCCUGAUCCAGCAAUGCCGCGUGAGUGAUGAAGGCCUUAGGGUUGUAAAGCUCUUUUACCUGGGAUGAUAAUGACAGUACCGGGAGAAUAAGCUCCGGCUAACUCCGUGCCAGCAGCCGCGGUAAUACGGAGGGAGCUAGCGUUGUUCGGAAUUACUGGGCGUAAAGCGCACGUAGGCGGCUUUGUAAGUCAGAGGUGAAAGCCUGGAGCUCAACUCCAGAACUGCCUUUGAGACUGCAUCGCUUGAAUCCAGGAGAGGUGAGUGGAAUUCCGAGUGUAGAGGUGAAAUUCGUAGAUAUUCGGAAGAACACCAGUGGCGAAGGCGGCUCACUGGACUGGUAUUGACGCUGA
rnacentral:rRNA from 1 species